AUUGAACGCUGGCGGCAGGCCUAACACAUGCAAGUCGCGCGGGUGAACGAUGCUUGCUCCUGGAUUCAGCGGCGGACGGGUGCGUAAUGCCUAGGAAUCUGCCUGGUAGUGGAGGCUAACGUCCGGAAACGGGCGCUCAUACCGCAUACGUCCUGAGGGAGACAGUGGGGGAUCUUCGGACGUCACGCUAUCAUAUGAGCCUAGGUCGGAUUAGCUAGUUGGUGGGGUAAAGGCCUACCAAGGCGACGAUCCGUAACUGGUCUGAGAGGAUGAUCAGUCACACUGGAACUGAGACACGGUCCAGACUCCUACGGGAGGCAGCAGUGGGGAAUAUUGGACAAUGGGCGAAAGCCUGAUCCAGCCAUGCCGCGGGAGUGAAGAAGGUCUUCGGAUUGUAAAGCACUUUAAGUGGGGAGGAAGGGCAGUAAGUUAAUACCGUGCUGUUUUGACGUUACCAACAGAAUAAGCACCGGCUAACUUCGUG
rnacentral:rRNA from 1 species